CACUCCUGCGGGAGGCAGCAGUGGGGAAUUUUGGACAAUGGGCGAAAGCCUGAUCCAGCAAUGCCGCGUGAGUGAAGAAGGCCUUCGGGUUGUAAAGCUCUUUUGUCAGGGAAGAAACGGUGAGAGCUAAUAUCUCUUGCUAAUGACGGUACCUGAAGAAUAAGCACCGGCUAACUACGUGCCAGCAGCCGCGGUAAUACGUAGGGUGCAAGCGUUAAUCGGAAUUACUGGGCGUAAAGCGUGCGCAGGCGGUUUUGUAAGUCUGAUGUGAAAUCCCCGGGCUCAACCUGGGAAUUGCAUUGGAGACUGCAAGGCUAGAAUCUGGCAGAGGGGGGUAGAAUUCCACGUGUAGCAGUGAAAUGCGUAGAUAUGUGGAGGAACACCGAUGGCGAAGGCAGCCCCCUGGGUCAAGAUUGACGCUCAUGCACGAAAGCGUGGGGAGCAAACAGGAUUAGAAACCCCUGUAGUCC
rnacentral:rRNA from 1 species